AAAAAGCGGAAGUCCAAUUGUUUGAAGCGGGAUACAAUAAACAUGUGGAAAAGAAGACACAGAGGAAAGCCUGGGCACAGAAUCCUAGAUUCUUUUGAUAAGGAUGAUUUUUAUGCUGGAAAACGAAUGUUCAAGGCAACCAGAAGCUUGAGUCCAUCCUGAACAUAGAGACAACACAGAUAUUAGCCAAGCUAGAUAUUGCUAGAGGAUUAGUCAAUGCAAUUCAGCAAGGACUAGUGAUGGAUAUGUUCCAGGUUCCACAGCUAGGAGAAUGUCAGGAAGAAAAGCCUCAUCAUUAAAAGUGUUACAGCAUCUUCAGAUGGUGAAAUGUCAAGCAAAAAGUGCAUUCCAAGCCCUCAAGAAGUUGUGUCAAGCCCUAGUCGUGAAGGCAUUCCAGAUCUAAAGAGUAGAAAUGGACCUAUAUGUAUGGUUUUAUUGAUGAAAAUAUGCCAUGCCCCAGUGACAAAGGUGAACCAGUUUCUAAAAAUGGAGAUGAAGCUUGACCCUGGAAAGAAAGCAUGUCUGUCUCUAAUGAUAGAGAUGUGACUUUAUCCAGGGACUGAGAUCUGCCAGUUCUAAAUGAAGGAGAUUUGCCAGGUGCUGAUAUUACUGAUAUCCUACAUGUGGGUCCCAUCUGCUCAAGGUUCCAAUAGUGAAAAAUCUUGGUUAGGAAUGAAGUGUCAUCAGAGGCACUAAAGGAAACUGAUGGCAUUGUUUUUGAGAAUAAGAGUGAGGAGGAGAUAGAUGACAGUCAAGACAAUCAGGAUGUCCAUAUUGUCACUCCAGGUACUGUAUACACACUGCAUUACCCAUUUUAAGCAAUAAGUUUCUUAACUUGAAAUUAUAUGCAGAAACCCAGCAUGGCCAGCCAGUCUACAUGCAUGGAAAAUUUUCUAAAGACUUGAUAUUGAGUAUUACCAGUAGAGCUUCAGUCUAAAAUGCAAACAGGUGGUUCUAUUCAAGGAUAGCCAGAGU